rnacentral:rRNA from 1 species
GACAGAGGGUGCAAACGUUGUUCGGAUUUACUGGGCGUAAAGCGCGUGUAGGCGGCUUGGCAAGUCGGAUGUGAAAGCCCACGGCUCAACCGUGGAAGCGCAUCCGAAACUGCUUCGCUCGAGUCUCGGAGAGGAAGGUGGAAUGCUUGGUGUAGAGGUGAAAUUCGUAGAUAUCAAGCAGAACACCUGCGGCGAAGGCGGCCUUCUGGACGAUGACUGACGAUGAGACGCGAAAGCGUGGGGAGCAAACAGG